UGCUGACGAGCGGCGGACGGGUGAGCAAUGUUUGGGAAUCUGCCUAUUAGUGGGGGACAACCCGGGGAAACUCGGGCUAAUACCGCAUACGCUCUACGGAGGAAAGCCGGGGACCGCAAGGCCUGGCGCUAGUAGAUGAGCCCAAAUCGGAUUAGCUAGUUGGUGGGGUAACGGCCUACCAAGGCGACGAUCCGUAGCUGGUUUGAGAGAACGACCAGCCACACCGGAACUGAGACACGGUCCGG
rnacentral:rRNA from 1 species